GAUCCUGGCUCAGAGCGAACGUUAGCGGCAGGGCUUAACACAUGCAAGUCGAGCGAGAAAGUGGGCUUCGGCCCGCGAGUAAAGCGGCGGACGGGUGAGUAACACGUGGGUAAUCUGCCCUUCGGUGGGGGACAACAACCCGAAAGGGUUGCUAAUACCGCAUUCGUCAGCGAGGUCCGAGGGCCUUGUUGGGAAAGCUGGGGAUGCUUCGGCACCUGGCGCCGAGGGAGGAGCCCGCGUCGCAUCAGCUAGUUGGUGAGGUAAUGGCUCACCAAGGCGAAGACGCGUAGCUGGUCUGAGAGGAUGAUCAGCCACACUGGGACUGAGACACGGCCACGACUCCUACGGGAGGCAGCAGUGGGGAAUAUUGGACAAUGGGGGCAACCCUGAUCCAGCUAUGCCGCGUGAGUGAUGAAGGCCUUCGGGUCGUAAAGCUCUGUGGAGAGGGAAGAAUGGCCGGCGAUUAAUACUCGGCGGUUUGACGGUACCUCUUUAGCAAGCACCGGCUAACUCCGUGCCAGCAGCCGCGGUAA
rnacentral:rRNA from 1 species